GAUGGAAUGAGCGCUCUACGACCUCUAACUCUACUGCCUCUCUUCCCGUCGAUCAAGCGGAACUACCUCUCAGACGGUUGCCAUGACAACCAAGACCCGACACCCCCCUCCCCCCGCAUUCUCCGCUGAUUCGCCGGUGGUUUCCAGGCAACAGCUAUACAAAUCCAGGAAAACACCCGGAAAAGACCCUGGGCCAUGGAAUAACUCGAACUUAAGCAGAAUAGAAGGGUGGAAACAUGGCGACCUCUUCGCUUCCUCUCUUAGAAAACACAGACUCUCUGAAGCUGAAGGUGGAAAACAAAACGAGGAACAUCUUUGUGACACAGUCGGCUCAGACCAGACUCAGAAAAGAGAGAAAUGUCAACCACAUACCUGUUGUAACAGAGACGUCUAGUAGAAUUCUAGAGGCAGGAGUGAACACAUUGCAAAAGACCCUGGUUCUGAAGAAACAGGCUGAGUUGGACGAGGUGGACAAGCAACUUGCACUGAAACGGCAGGAGUUUAAAGGGCAGGUGGAAGCUCUGGCUCAGAAACGGUCUGAACUGGAACUGAAACACCAGCAGACCAAAGACAGGGCCAUGAAAUUUGAAAAGUUCGUGGCUGAAAACGAGCUGAAGCGGCGGCGGGCGCUGAAGAAGUUCGAGGUCACGCGGGAGCAGAACAUCCUGAAGCAGGCGGAGAUUGAAGAGCUGAGCAAUGGGCUCAGACGGCUGCAGACCAGAGGUCAAGUUUUAAAGGAGAGAAUUGCAAAAUAUAAAAUCUAUGAGGACUACUUGAUGAGAACACUGAGUCAUCUCCCCAGCAGUAAGUUAAAGGCUGUUAUUGCCAGGGAUCAUGUAUAUAAACCUGUUCCUGUUCACACGAGCUGCCAGAUGGAACACAUCGCACGAUUCUGUCCAGGUUACCUCGAUAACGGCUCUGAGUCUUUGGUGAUGCCAAUCAUUCGGCGCCACGAGACUCUGUCCAUCAUCAACCAGGAGCUGCUGCGGCGCCUGGAGCGUCUGGAGCUGGAGACGGAGCAGGGUCAACAGCGGCUGCAGACCAUGCAGCAGGAGCACAGCGUCAAAUCACUGUUGGCCAACAAAGAACUGUCUGAACUUCAGAGCGAGUUAGAGGUUCUUAAGGAGAAAAACAAACAGGAGGAGGCGAACCUGCUGAUGGAGCAAGGCCUCUCCAGGGAGAAGGUCGAGGAAGUGGGAAGAUUGCUUAUGGCCAUCAGUAACCUAGCAGAGCAGUGUUACCUGCCGGCAUAUGGACCUCUACAAAACAUGAACCUACUGACGAUGCUGGAUAUGGUGAAGGAAUACAUCCUGGACAAGGCCGACACCGAGAGGAGAGCGAGGAAGCUGAUGCGGUCGGCGUCUGCAGCGACGAACAAGGCGGCAGCUGUAACUGACAAGAGGUGGAGGGGAUCGAAGAAAAGCAUCGACAGUAAAACGCACUUGAAAAGUUCAAGUAAAGUCAGUAAAAAAAGUGACUCGGUGAAUUGA
rnacentral:lncRNA from 1 species